rnacentral:rRNA from 1 species
GGAAGGCAGCAGGCGCGUAAAUUACCCAAUCCUGACUCAGGGAGGUAGUGACAAGAAAUAACAGACCGGAGCCUCUGGUUCCGGGAUUGCAAUGAGUACAAUUUAGACUCCUUAACAAGUAACAAUUGGAGGGCAAGUCUGGUGCCAGCAGCCGCGGUAAUUCCAGCUCCAAUAGUGUAUAUUAAUGUUCCUGCAGUUAUUCGAUGCUCGUAGUUGGAUUUCUGGAGGCUGAGACAGGAGGGCAGCCAAGGUUGUCGCCAGUCUCUUCCUUCAUCCGCCUGUUAACGUUGUCCGGGAUUUAUUUCUCGGCUUCGGGCUCAGGUACUUUUUUUGUUUUACCCUUUCUUUAUAUUCAUUUAUUUAUCUUUAUUUUUUGAGCAAAUUAUAGUGUUUCAGGCAGGCGUGCGCCGGAAUACAUUAGCAUGGAAUAAUCGAAUUGGACCGUGUAUUCACUAUGUGAAUUCUUCCUUAUUUGUUGGUUCUAAGGACACGGAUAUGAUUAAUAGGGAUAGUAAUUUUCAGGGGAGGCAUUAGUAUUUAAUUUCCAGAGGUGAAAUUCUUUGAAAUAUUAAAGACUAACUUAUGCGAAAGCAUUUAUUUUGCCAAUAAUGUUUUCAUUAAUCAUUGAACGAAAGUUAGGGGAUCAAAGACGAUCAGAUACCGUCCUAGUCUUAACCAUAAACGUUGCCGACUAGGGAUCGGAGGGCGUGCACAUUCCGCCUUCGGCACCUUACGAGAAAUCAAAGUCUUUUGGGUUCUGGGGGUAGUAUGGUCGCAAGGCUGAAACUUAAAGGAAUUGACGGAAAGGCACCACAAGGCGUGGAGCCUGCGGCUUAAUUUGACUCAACACGGGAAAACUUACCAGGUCAGGACAUGUGAAGGAUUGACAGUCUGAGAGCACUUUCAUGAUUACAUGGGUGGUGGUGCAUGGCCGUUCUUAGUUGGUGGGUUGCCUUGUCAGGUUGAUUCCGGUAACGAACGAGACCUCAGCCUGCUAAAUAGUCACGUCUACCUCGGUAGGCGCCUGACUUCUUAGAGGGACUAUUGGCGUUUAGCCAAUGGAAGUGUGAGGCAAUAACAGGUCUGUGAUGCCCUUAGAUGUCCUGGGCCGCACGCGUGCUACACUGAUGCAUACAGCGAGCACUUCCCGGCCCCGAAAGGCGGCUGGUAAUCAGCAAUAUGCAUCGUGAUGGGGAUAGUUCUUUGGAAUUCUUGAACUUGAACGAGGAAUGCCUAGUAGGCGCAAGUCAUUACCUUGCGUCGAUUAAGUCCCUGCCCUUUGUACACACCGCCCGUCGCUCCUACCGAUUCGAGUGAUCCGGUGAACCUUUUGGACCGGAGCUGCUUGCAGUUCUGGAAAAUCAAGUAAACCACGUCACUUAGAGGAAGGAGAAGUCGUAACAAGGUUUCCGUAGGUGAACCUGCGGAAGGAUCAAU